GAUGAACGCUGGCGGCGUGCCUAAUACAUGCAAGUCGAGCGAACAGAUGAGGAGCUUGCUCCUCUGACGUUAGCGGCGGACGGGUGAGUUACACGUGGAUAACCUACCUAUAAGACUGGGAUAACUUCGGGAAACCGGAGCUAAUACCGGAUAAUAUAUUGAACCGCAUGGUUCAAUAGUGAAAGACGGUUUUGCUGUCACUUAUAGAUGGAUCCGCGCCGCAUUAGCUAGUUGGUAAGGUAACGGCUUACCAAGGCAACGAUGCGUAGCCGACCUGAGAGGGUGAUCGGCCACACUGGAACUGAGACACGGUCCAGACUCCUACGGGAGGCAGCAGUAGGGAAUCUUCCGCAAUGGGCGAAAGCCUGACGGAGCAACGCCGCGUGAGUGAUGAAGGUCUUCGGAUCGUAAAACUCUGUUAUUAGGGAAGAACAAAUGUGUAAGUAACUAUGCACGUCUUGACGGUACCUAAUCAGAAAGCCACGGCUAACUACGUG
rnacentral:rRNA from 1 species